ACUUACAGCAGAUACAAAUCCCUAGGAUUUUGUUCACAGGAGGUAUUAGUACAUGACUUUAUUGCUAAAACAUGUGAAAAUGGCAUCAGAAAUACAUAAGAUUAAAUCUAUGAUACAACCAUAUUUUCUCAGUAGCUAUUUUAUACAAAAUUGUCAUUAACAGACCUCUCAAGCAUUCAAUAAAAUCAAGACAAGUACUCAGUAUUUGUUAUUCUAUGUGAUACAGCCAGUUAUUCCCAAUAUCUCCUACUCUGAAAUGUCAUGUUACAACCUCAUGUUUAGUGAUUUAGCUUUAUGAUUGUUACUGUGUCAACAAGGUGCAAAAAGACUACAUUUUUCCUUUCAAGUUUGCAUAUACAAGAAAAUGGAAACAUUUUCACCAAUAUGUCACUACUUCUACAUGCAGGCAUGCACAUAUAUGAUGCAGAAAAUUGCUGAGUCACUUUAUAUAAAUCGUUACGAACAUUAUGCUCAACAGGUGUAUUUUGUGAAUGAACUAAGAAAAGUAACAAAAAAAUCAUGUGAACAGUAUAAUUUUUGGAGUUAUAUUAAAAAAAAUAGAAUCAUACAUCUCAUCUACACUAAAUCAGUAAAACAAAUGUUUAUCGUAGGAAAAGAUACUGAACAUUUGCAAUGUCAGACUCAGAAUCAUGUCAGUGAGGGAACAACGAAGUACCUUGGUACGUGGAAUAAGUACAU
rnacentral:misc_RNA from 1 species